CCACAGAUGUAGAGACUGAAGCAGAGGAGCCAGCAGACACACCCUGCGCCCCUGUAUUAAGAGCAUGAGGAUGACAUCCAGCAAGCUUGGAUGAGCUUCUAGGACCCACGAACCCAGGGCCGAUCUGGCCAAGUUUCCCUUGGCUGUGUAAUCUGCAAAAGCCUCCAAGUCCACACUGCUGUUGAUGGUAUACUCCUUGCCUCCUCCAGUACUGCGAACAUCAGGAGCUUCUGCAUCCCAUGGCCAAACCCCAGAUGUAAUGACAGACGUGCAUACAUACUCUAACAUCACCAUCACAGGGCUAUGCCACUGUGCGUCCGUGAGGGAAGGCCUGACUUAUGUAGCCCAGUUUAUCCUCUAACUCACUAUGGUGGCCACGACUGAUCUUGAACUUCUGACUCACCUUUCUCUGCCUGCCCAUGUCCUGGGAUUAUAUGUAUGGGCCACUAUGCCAGGC